rnacentral:rRNA from 1 species
UACGGGGGGGGCAAGCGUUGUUCGGAAUUACUGGGCGUAAAGGGCGCGUAGGCGGCCUGCUAAGUCGGAUGUGAAAUCCCUCGGCUCAACCGAGGAACUGCAUCCGAUACUGGCGGGCUUGAAUCCGGGAGAGGGAUGUGGAAUUCCAGGUGUAGCGGUGAAAUGCGUAGAGAUCCGGAGGAAGACCGGUGGCGAAGGCGGCCUGCUGGGCAGUUUCUGACACUGAGGCGCGACAGCGUGGGGAGCAAACAGG